rnacentral:tRNA from 1 species
GACCGCGUAGCUCAGUUGGCAGAGCAUUGGGCUAGCAUUCCAAAGGUCGUAGGUUCAAUUCCCACCGUGGCCA